ACACAUUGAGGAGUGCGCCACUGGGUAAAUCCAAACAUAUACCAGUUGACCAGGUUCUCAAUUUAACUUUCUUUCUCUGCCUCUAACAUUGUCGGCUGCUCUCUACGUACAUAUGUACAUACAUACAUAUGUAUGUUCGUUUAAGAUAAAUUUUCAGCUCCCAGCUACGUUUAUAUGCGCUGAGCCAUCGGUGUUGAUUCAACAGUUUAGUUUCCAGCUUUGAGUAAUUCGGACAAGUUUGAGCUGCAAAUCAUUUCAUAUUAUUUUAAGUUAAAUAAAUACAAAAUCAAGAUAAGAUGUGGCAAAUGCUGAAUAUAGUUUUGUUAACACUAGUCUACUCCAGACUUAUCAGCGUCAGUGGAGCUGGCAGCAAGCAGCCGAAUCAUGCUGUUACAGAUAUCUGGGCGCAGGACUUAACCGACACUUUUAAAAUAGAAGGUAGCGAUCAAGGCAUUCAAAAAGUGAACCUGAAAUGUGGAGCCAAUUCAAUGAACGUGAUGCUGGAAACUGAGAAACCAUUCACAGGCGUAAUGUAUACGCGAGGAAGUUUUUAUAAGCAAACAGCACCUUGCUUUAUGAAGCCAACUGCAAGUCAGGGGUCGCGUAAGCUGGAGAUGAACUUUUCAUUGGAUCAAUGUCAAACAAUUAAAGAUGGUGAACUUUAUACAAACAUAGUGGUCAUACAAAACGAUCCAGAGCUUAUCACACCUGGGGAUUCCGCUUUUUCGUUAGAGUGUGAUUUUCGCCACCCCCGCAGCCUUGAUGUAGAGACUACUAUGCAGACCAGGGACAGAAUUGCAACAAGAUCCAAAAUUACACUCAAUAGUCCCGAUCCUGCUGCUCUAGCUAAUAAUCUACUACACUAUUCGGUGUUUAGCAACAGUGAUACAGUUGAAUACAUACCAAAGCUUAAAGAAUUAAAUAAAACCAAUCACAUGGGCACCGUAGAGAAGUUGACACUGCCGAUUAUACACGCAAGAGAUGAACUUUAAUAUAGAAAAUACACAUAAGUAAAACAAAGUAAUUGACAUUGCAUUACCAUUAACACCCCAAAACAGGAAAAAUGCAUUGAACAAAACAUCGCCGGCAUAAAUACUAUACAAUUACAACAGCUUGAACAUCCAUUCGGGAUUACGGUGGCAUUUUAUUCGCAAUGCCCAUACUGGGCAGUGUUAUUAGCCAGCCGACAUUACAAAUCAAUAUAGAUAUGUAGAAU